UUUUACUACCUUAGGUUCCUGCACUGGGAGCCUUAGAACCUGAAGCCUGUGCCUUUGACUGUUUCUGAAUAUUGGCACUAGCUUCCAUCUUCCUGGCUGCAUCCACAAUAGAGUGAAAACUCUCCUUUUCUGCUGGAAGGAUUAAGGAAGAAUACCUGGGAUGAAGUCUCAUGGUAUAUCUUCUUGCCUUCUUCUGAUCAGUAUCAUAGGCCUGACCCACGUACUGAAGCAAAUCCAGG
rnacentral:lncRNA from 1 species